rnacentral:tRNA from 1 species
GGCAAGAUGGCCGAGUUGGUUAUGGCGUGAGGUUAAGGUCACCUUAACACCUAAUUUCCUCAUGGAGCAAUCCGCGUGGGUUCAAGUCCCACUCUUGUCA